UCUCAUCUCUUCCCCGUUAAUCUCUAAACCUCUCUCCCUCACAAUCUCUCUCACCUGUAUCUCUCCUCUCUCUCUCUCUCAAAAUCUCUCUCUCACUCUCCCUUUCUCUCUCUGGACCGAUCUCUCUCUCACCCUCACCUGAAUCUCUCCUGAGUCUCUCUCUCUCUCGGUUUUCUCUCUCCCCGCGUCGCCGCUUGUCGCCUCCAUCCAGCCGCCUCACUUCCUCCGUUUUCUCUCUGUUUCAUUCGCCGCCUUUCACUACAAUCUCUCUCCGCCGUCUCCCUCCGGUUUUCCUUUCUCUCCCUCCGGUUUUGUUUCAGGACACCAGUAGGCUAGUUGACUCCCUUCUUAGCAUCUGAUUCCUAUACUCAGCAAGAUGCCUAGAACGAGACCACCCAGAAGACCGUUGACCAGUAGUGGACGGGGUUCCAUCCCUCCACCCAUUUUGGGCACGUCUGAGGUAGUGGAGUCAGAUAUUAUAAGUUAUGGUAUUGUAAUAAUUAGCGAGUUUAUUCGGAUUUAAGAUUUACGGUAAUGUAAUAUUCAGGUGACUUAAAUCAUACUUAAACCUGGCAAGAUCCUAGUCAGGGGAUGUAUUAUUAUUAUUAUAUUCAGGUUGUGUUUCCUUUUCA